rnacentral:rRNA from 1 species
AUACAGAGGGUGCAAGCGUUAAUCGGAUUUACUGGGCGUAAAGCGCGCGUAGGUGGCUAAUUAAGUCAAAUGUGAAAUCCCCGAGCUUAACUUGGGAAUUGCAUUCGAUACUGGUUAGCUAGAGUAUGGGAGAGGAUGGUAGAAUUCCAGGUGUAGCGGUGAAAUGCGUAGAGAUCUGGAGGAAUACCGAUGGCGAAGGCAGCCAUCUGGCAUAAUACGGACACUGAGGUGCGAAAGCAUGGGGAGCAAACAGGAUUAGAUACCCUGGUAGUCCAUGCCGUAAACGAUGUCUACUGGCCGUUGGGGCCCUUGAGGCUUUAGUGGCGCAGCUAACGCGAUAAGUAGACCGCCUGGGGAGUACGGUCGCAAGACUAAAACUCAAAUGAAUCGACGGGG